AUUGAACGCUGGCGGCAGGCCUAACACAUGCAAGUCGAACGAGUGGCGGACGGGUGAGUAAUGUCUGGGAAACUGCCCGAUGGAGGGGGAUAACUACUGGAAACGGUAGCUAAUACCGCAUACCAUCGGAUGUGCCCAGAUGGGAUUAGCUAGUAGGUGGGGUAAAGGCUCACCUAGGCGACGAUCCCUAGCUGGUCUGAGAGGAUGAUCAGCCCCACUGGGACUGAGACACGGCCCAUACUCCUACGGGAGGCAGCAGUGGGGAAUAUUGGCCAAUGGGCGAAAGCCUGAUCCAACAAUACCGCGUGUGUGAAGAAGGCCUUCGGGUUGUAAAGCAAUUUCAGCGAGGAGGCGUUACUCGCAGAAGAAGCACCGGCUAACUCCGUGCCCGCAGCCGCGGUAAUAC
rnacentral:rRNA from 1 species